rnacentral:misc_RNA from 1 species
UGGUUCUGGCAUNGAUGAAGAACGCAGCGAAAUGCGAUAAGUAAUGUGAAUUGCAGAAUUCAGUGAAUCAUCGAAUCUUUUAACGCACAUUGCGCCCCGUGGCACUCCGCGGGGCAUGCCUGUUCGAGCGUCAUUACACCACUCAAGCCUGGCUUGGUAUUGGGCGCCGCGGUCCGCCGCGCGCCUCGAAGUCUCCGGCUGAGCCGUCCGUCUCUAAGCGUUGUGGUAAACUAUUCGCUUGCGAGGCCGGGGGGCUCCACGCCGUUAAACCCUUCUCAAGGUUGACCUCGGAUCAGGUAGGGAUACCCGCUGA